CAGGGGGUAUUUUAUUUAAAAUGUUAAUUUUGGGGAUUAAUGAAGUGGUGUUUGGCGCCGUUCCUCUGA
rnacentral:tRNA from 1 species